ensembl:misc_RNA Metazoa_SRP Metazoan signal recognition particle RNA
GCUGGCACCCUGGCAUGGGCCUGUAGUCUCAGCUAGUCAGGAGGCUGAGGCGGGAGGAUGUCUUGAGCCCAGGAGUUCUGGGCUAUAGUCCGCUAUGCCAGUUGGGUUUCCGCGCUAAGUUCGUCAUCAAUAUGGUGACCUCCUGGGAACAGGACCACCAGGUUGCCUAAGGGAGGGGUGAACUGGCCCAGGUUGGAAAUGGAGCAGGUCAGGACUCCUGUGCUGAUCAGUAAAAGGAUCGAGACUGAAUAGCCACUGCACUCCAGCCUAAUCAACCUGGUAAGACCCUGUCUCU